UACGGAGGGUGCAAGCGUUAUCCGGAUUCACUGGGUUUAAAGGGUGCGUAGGAGGGCAGGUAAGUCAGUGGUGAAAUCUCCGAGCUUAACUCGGAAACUGCCGUUGAUACUAUCUGUCUUGAAUAUUGUGGAGGUGAGCGGAACAUGUCAUGUAGCGGUGAAAUGCUUAGAUAUGACAUAGAACACCAAUUGCGAAGGCAGCUCGCUACACAUAUAUUGACUCUGAGGCACGAAAGCGUGGGGAUCAAACAGG
rnacentral:rRNA from 1 species